rnacentral:rRNA from 1 species
CGCGUGCGCGAAGAAGGCCUUCGGGUUGUAAAGCGCUUUUCGGUAGGAAGAGGAAGGACUGUACUCCCGGAAUAAGUCUCGGCUAACUACGUGCCAGCAGCCGCGGUAAUACGUAGGAGGCUAACGUUAUCCGGAUUUACUGGGCGUAAAGCGCGUGCAGGCGGUUCGUUAAGUUGGACGUGAAAGCUCCCGGCUCAACUGGGAGAGGUCGUUCAAUACUGGCGGACUUGAGGAUGGUAGAGGGAGGUGGAAUUCCGGGUGUAGUGGUGAAAUGCGCAGAUAUCCGGAGGAACACCAGUGGCGAAAGCGGCCUCCUGGACCAUUCCUGACGCUCAGACGCGAAAGCUAGGGUAGCAAACGGGAUUAGAGACCCCGGUAGUCCUAGCUGUAAACGAUGUGAACUUGGCGUCGGUGGGAUUAAAUCCAUCGGUGUCGAAGCUAACGCGAUAAGUUCACCGCCUGAGGACUACGGCCGCAA